rnacentral:rRNA from 1 species
UCGUCCUAAUCAGGCGUAAAGGGUAUGUAGGCUGCUUUGAAAGUUUUAUUUAUAAUAGCUCUUUUUAAUAAAAAAGAUAAUAUAAAAUGAAUUAAAGCUAGGAUCAAGAAGAGGAUAAACCAAAUAAUACUUAGAGUAGGGAUGAUAUCUUUAGAUACUAAGGGGAAUACUAACGGUGAAAGCUUUUUAUCUAUUAAUGAUUGACGCUGAGAAACGAAGGUGAGAAGAGGAAAUAGGAUUAGAUACCCAGAUACCUCUCACUGUAAACGAUGAAUGGUGGUUAUUAGGAAUAAUAAAACUAGUGACGAUGUUAACACGAUAACCAUUCCGCCUUGCGAGUACGGUUGCAAAACUGAA